UACGGAGGGUGCGAGCGUUGUCCGGAAUCACUGGGCGUAAAGGGCGCGUAGGCGGCGCGGAAAGUCGUCGGUGAAAGCUCGGGGCUCAACCCUGAGUCUGCCGGUGAUACUCCCGCGCUCGAGCUCACUAGAGGCAGAUGGAAUUCCGGGUGUAGCGGUGGAAUGCGUAGAGAUCCGGAAGAACACCGGUGGCGAAGGCGGUCUGCUGGGGUGAGGCUGACGCUGAUGCGCGACAGCGUGGGGAGCAAACAGG
rnacentral:rRNA from 1 species